rnacentral:rRNA from 1 species
UACGUAGGGUGCGAGCGUUUGUCCGGAAUUAUUGGGCGUAAAGGGCUCGUAGGCGGUUUGUCGCGUCGGGAGUGAAAUCCACUGGCUUAACUGGUGGCUUGCUUUCGAUACGGGCAGACUGGAGUACUGCAGGGGAGACUGGAAUUCCUGGUGUAGCGGUGGAAUGCGCAGAUAUCAGGAGGAACACCGGUGGCGAAGGCGGGUCUCUGGGCAGUAACUGACGCUGAGGAGCGAAAGCGUGGGGAGCGAACAGG